CGGGACCCAUAAGAGGAG
rnacentral:misc_RNA from 1 species